rnacentral:lncRNA from 1 species
ACUGACUUCCACAAUGGUUGAACUAGUUUACAGUCCCACCAACAGUGUAAAAGUGUUCCUAUUUCUCCACAUCCUCUCCAGCAUCUCUUGUUUCCUGACUUUUUAAUGAUUGCCAUUCUAACUGGUGUGAGAUGGUAUCUCAUUGUGGUUUUGAUUUGCAUUUAUCUGAUGGCCAGUGACGGUGAGCAUUUUUUCAUGUGUUUUUUGGCUGCAUAAAUGUCUUCUUUUGACAAGUUUUUCACAAUAUUGAUUCUUCCUACCCAUGAUCAUGGAAUGUUCUUCCAUUUGUUUGUAUCCUCUUUUGUAUCCUUGAGCAGUGCUGUGGGUUUGUCAUAGAUAGCUCUUAUUAUUUUGAAAUACAUCCCAUCAAUACCUAAUUUAUUGAGAGUUUUUAGCAUGAAGGUUUGUUGAAUUUUGUCAAAGGCCUUUUCUGCAUCUUUUGAGAUAAUCAUGUGGUUUUUGUCUUUGGUUCUGUUUAUAUGCUGGAUUACAUUUAUUGAUUUGCAUAUAUUGAACCAGCCUUGCAUCCCAGGGAUGAAGCACACUUGAUCAUGGUGGAUAAGCUUUUUGAUGUGCUGCUGGAUUCGGUUUGCCAGUAUUUUAUUGAGGAUUUUUGCAUCAAUGUUCAUCAAGCAUAUUGGUCUAAAAUUCUCUUUUUUGGUUGUGUCUCUGCCCGGCUUUGGUAUCAGGAUGAUGCUGGCCUCAUAAAACGAGUUAGGGAGGAUUCCCUCUUUUCCUAUUGAUUGGAAUAGUUUCAGAAGGAAUGGUACCAGUUCCUCCUUAUACCUCUGGUAGAAUUCAGCUGUGAAUCCAUCUGGUCCUGGACUCUUUUUGGUUGGUAAGCUAUUGAUUAUUGCCACAGUUUCAGAUCCUGUUAUUGGUCUAUUCAGAGAUUCAACUUCUUCCUGGUUUAGUCUUGGG